CGCUGGCGGCGUGCCUAACACAUGCAAGUCGAACGCGAAAGCCCCGCAAGGGGUUAGUAGAGUGGCAAACGGGUGAGUAACACGUGGGUGACCUGCCUUCGAGCGGGGGAUAACGUCCCGAAAGGGACGCUAAUACCGCAUAACAUCCUGCCUUUGAAGAGGUGGAGAUCAAAGCUGGGGAUCGCAAGACCCGGCACUUGAAGAGGGGCCCGCGUCUGAUUAGCUAGUUGGUGGGGUAACGGCCUACCAAGGCAACGAUCAGUAUCCGGCCUGAGAGGGCGGACGGACACACUGGGACUGAGACACGGCCCAGACUCCUACGGGAGGCAGCAGUGGGGAAUUGUUCGCAAUGGGCGCAAGCCUGACGACGCAACGCCGCGUGGAGGAUGAAGAUUUUCGGAUCGUAAACUCCUGUCGAAUGGGACGAACAGAUUGCGGGUUAACAGCCCGUAGUCCUGACGGUACCGUUAAAGGAAACCCCGGCUAACUCCGUGCCAGCAGCCGCGGUAAUACGGGGGGGGUAAGCGUUGUUCGGAAUUACUGGGCGUAAAGGGCUCGUAGGCGGCCAACUAAGUCAUACGUGAAAUCCCUCAGCUUAACUGGGGAACUGCGUGUGAUACUGGAUGGCUUGGAUUUGGGAGAGGGAUGCGGAAUUCCAGGUGUAGCGGUGAAAUGCGUAGAUAUCUGGAGGAACACCGGUGGCGAAGGCGGCAUCCUGGACCAAUAUUGAC
rnacentral:rRNA from 1 species